AGAUUCCUGGGGUGUUCGACAAUCUUGUAUUUUGAACCUACAUUUAUUGAAUUGGGAUUCCUACAUUCGUAAGUGGAUGCCAAGCCUCCGUUUGUAGUGGAAGGCAGAAGCUUAUAUGCGGUAACCCACCUAGCAUUGGCUAGGCGUCAAAAUCCAAGAAACGGCAUUUUGGGAGAGUA
rnacentral:other from 1 species